rnacentral:rRNA from 1 species
UACGUAGGGGGCAAGCGUUGUCCGGAUUUAUUGGGCGUAAAGAGCGUGUCGGUUUGGUAGGUCCGCUGUGAAAACUCGAGGCUCAACCUCGAGACGCCGGUGGAAACCAUCAGACUAGAGUCCGGAAGAGGAGAGUGGAAUUCCUGGUGUAGCGGUGAAAUGCGCAGAUAUCAGGAAGAACACCCGUGGCUAAGGCGGCUCUCUAGUACGGUACUGACGCUGAGACGCGAAAGCGUGGGGAGCGAACAGG